rnacentral:rRNA from 1 species
UACGUAGGGGGCAAGCGUUGUCCGGAAUCAUUGGGCGUAAAGAGCGCGUAGGCGGCCCGCCGCGUCCGGGGUGAAAUCCUCCCGCUCAACGGGAGAACGGCCUCGGAUACGGGCGGACUGGAGGCGGGUAGGGGCAGGCGGAACUGUGGGUGGAGCGGUGAAAUGCGUUGAUAUCCACAGGAACUCCGGUGGCGAAGGCGGCCUGCUGGACCCGAUCUGACGCUGAGGCGCGAAAGCCAGGGGAGCGAACGGG